AUUGACCUCGGAUCAGGUAGGGAUACCCGCCUGAACUUAAGCAUAUCA
rnacentral:rRNA from 1 species